UACGGAGGGUGCGAGCGUUGUUCGGAAUUACUGGGCGUAAAGCGCGUGUAGGCGGCUUUCUAAGUCUGGUGUGAAAGCCCGGGGCUCAACCCCGGAAGUGCAUUGGAUACUGGGAAGCUGGAGUACCGGAGAGGAGGGUGGAAUUCCUGGUGUAGCGGUGAAAUGCGUAGAUAUCAGGAGGAACACCGGUGGCGAAGGCGGCCCUCUGGACGGAUACUGACGCUGAGACGCGAAAGCGUGGGGAGCAAACAGG
rnacentral:rRNA from 1 species